rnacentral:rRNA from 1 species
ACAGGGUGACAGCCCCGUACACAAAAAUGCACAUAUUGUGAGCUCGAUGAGUAGGGCGGGACACGUGGUAUCCUGUCUGAAUAUGGGGGGACCAUCCUCCAAGGCUAAAUACUCCUGACUGACCGAUAGUGAACCAGUACCGUGAGGGAAAGGCGAAAAGAACCCCGGCGAGGGGAGUGAAAAAGAACCUGAAACCGUGUACGUACAAGCAGUGGGAGCACGCUUAGGCGUGUGACUGCGUACCUUUUGUAUAAUGGGUCAGCGACUUAUAUUCUGUAGCAAGGUUAACCGAAUAGGGGAGCCGAAGGGAAACCGAGUCUUAACUGGGCGUUAAGUUGCAGGGUAUAGACCCGAAACCCGGUGAUCUAGCCAUGGGCAGGUUGAAGGUUGGGUAACACUAACUGGAGGACCGAACCGACUAAUGUUGAAAAAUUAGCGGAUGACUUGUGGCUGGGGGUGAAAGGCCAAUCAAACCGGGAGAUAGCUGGUUCUCCCCGAAAGCUAUUUAGGUAGCGCCUCGUGAAUUCAUCUCCGGGGGUAGAGCACUGUUUCGGCAAGGGGGUCAUCCCGACUUACCAACCCGAUGCAAACUGCGAAUACCGGAGAAUGUUAUCACGGGAGACACACGGCGGGUGCUAACGUCCGUCGUGAAGAGGGAAACAACCCAGACCGCCAGCUAAGGUCCCAAAGUCAUGGUUAAGUGGGAAACGAUGUGGGAAGGCCCAGACAGCCAGGAUGUUGGCUUAGAAGCAGCCAUCAUUUAAAGAAAGCGUAAUAGCUCACUGGUCGAGUCGGCCUGCGCGGAAGAUGUAACGGGGCUAAACCAUGCACCGAAGCUGCGGCAGCGACGCUUAUGCGUUGUUGGGUAGGGGAGCGUUCUGUAAGCCUGCGAAGGUGUGCUGUGAGGCAUGCUGGAGGUAUCAGAAGUGCGAAUGCUGACAUAAGUAACGAUAAAGCGGGUGAAAAGCCCGCUCGCCGGAAGACCAAGGGUUCCUGUCCAACGUUAAUCGGGGCAGGGUGAGUCGACCCCUAAGGCGAGGCCGAAAGGCGUAGUCGAUGGGAAACAGGUUAAUAUUCCUGUACUUGGUGUUACUGCGAAGGGGGGACGGAGAAGGCUAUGUUGGCCGGGCGACGGUUGUCCCGGUUUAAGCGUGUAGGCUGGUUUUCCAGGCAAAUCCGGAAAAUCAAGGCUGAGGCGUGAUGACGAGGCACUACGGUGCUGAAGCAACAAAUGCCCUGCUUCCAGGAAAAGCCUCUAAGCAUCAGGUAACAUCAAAUCGUACCCCAAACCGACACAGGUGGUCAGGUAGAGAAUACCAAGGCGCUUGAGAGAACUCGGGUGAAGGAACUAGGCAAAAUGGUGCCGUAACUUCGGGAGAAGGCACGCUGAUAUGUAGGUGAAGUCCCUUGCGGAUGGAGCUGAAAUCAGUCGAAGAUACCAGCUGGCUGCAACUGUUUAUUAAAAACACAGCACUGUGCAAACACGAAAGUGGACGUAUACGGUGUGACGCCUGCCCGGUGCCGGAAGGUUAAUUGAUGGGGUCAGCGCAAGCGAAGCUCUUGAUCGAAGCCCCGGUAAACGGCGGCCGUAACUAUAACGGUCCUAAGGUAGCGAAAUUCCUUGUCGGGUAAGUUCCGACCUGCACGAAUGGCGUAAUGAUGGCCAGGCUGUCUCCACCCGAGACUCAGUGAAAUUGAACUCGCUGUGAAGAUGCAGUGUACCCGCGGCAAGACGGAAAGACCCCGUGAACCUUUACUAUAGCUUGACACUGAACAUUGAGCCUUGAUGUGUAGGAUAGGUGGGAGGCUUUGAAGUGUGGACGCCAGUCUGCAUGGAGCCGGCCUUGAAAUACCACCCUUUAAUGUUUGAUGUUCUAACGUGGACCCGUGAUCCGGGUUGCGGACAGUGUCUGGUGGGUAGUUUGACUGGGGCGGUCUCCUCCUAAAGAGUAACGGAGGAGCACGAAGGUUGGCUAAUCCUGGUCGGACAUCAGGAGGUUAGUGCAAUGGCAUAAGCCAGCUUGACUGCGAGCGUGACGGCGCGAGCAGGUGCGAAAGCAGGUCAUAGUGAUCCGGUGGUUCUGAAUGGAAGGGCCAUCGCUCAACGGAUAAAAGGUACUCCGGGGAUAACAGGCUGAUACCGCCCAAGAGUUCAUAUCGACGGCGGUGUUUGGCACCUCGAUGUCGGCUCAUCACAUCCUGGGGCUGAAGUAGGUCCCAAGGGUAUGGCUGUUCGCCAUUUAAAGUGGUACGCGAGCUGGGUUUAGAACGUCGUGAGACAGUUCGGUCCCUAUCUGCCGUGGGCGCUGGAGAACUGAGGGGGGCUGCUCCUAGUACGAGAGGACCGGAGUGGACGCAUCACUGGUGUUCGGGUUGUCAUGCCAAUGGCACUGCCCGGUAGCUAAAUGCGGAAGAGAUAAGUGCUGAAAGCAUCUAAGCACGAAACUUGCCCCGAGAUGAGUUCUCCCUGACCCUUUAAGGGUCCUGAAGGAACGUUGAAGACGACGACGUUGAUAGGCCGGGUGUGUAAGCGCAGCGAUGCGUUGAGCUAACCGGUACUAAUGAACCGUGAGGCUUAACCUUACAACGCCGAAG